GAUGAACGCUGGCGGCGUGCCUAAUACAUGCAAGUCGAGCGAACAGACGAGGAGCUUGCUCCUCUGACGUUAGCGGCGGACGGGUGAGUAACACGUGGAUAACCUACCUAUAAGACUGGGAUAACUUCGGGAAACCGGAGCUAAUACCGGAUAAUAUAUUGAACCUCAUGGUUCAAUAGUGAAAGACGGUUUUGCUGUCACUUAUAGAUGGAUCCGCGCCGCAUUAGCUAGUUGGUAAGGUAACGGCUUACCAAGGCAACGAUGCGUAGCCGACCUGAGAGGGUGAUCGGCCAAACGGGAACUGAGACACGGUCCAGACUCCUACGGGAGGCAGCAGUAGGGAAUCUUCCGCAAAGGGCGAAAGCUUGACGGAGCAACGCCGCGUGAGUGAUGAAGGUCUUCGGAUCGUAAAACUCUGUUAUUAGGGAAGAACAAAUGUGUAAGUAACUAUGCACGUCUUGACGGUACCCAAUCAGAAAGCCACGGCUAACUACGUG
rnacentral:rRNA from 1 species